UUUUGCCUGCACACCUUACAGACAAAGACUGGUGAAACUGCGUGGCCCACACAGCACCAGCAAACCAAGACCUGACAAAGGACAACAAGUAUGGUUAAAAGAUAUUCAAUAAAUAUGAUAAAUAUAUCUAUACCAAUGUGCAAAACACUGUUAAAAUGUAUUGUGCAAAUCUCCAAUAAAGUGCUGUUGCUCCUCUUAAA